UACGUAGGGGGCGAGCGUUGUCCGGAUUUAUUGGGCGUAAAGAGCUCGUAGGCGGUUUGGCAAGUCGGGUGUGAAAACUCCGGGCUCAACUCGGAGACGCCACUCGAUACUGCCAUGACUCGAGUCCGGUAGGGGCGGAGGGAAUUCUCGGUGGAGCGGUGAAAUGCAUAGAUAUCGGGAAGAACACCAACGGCGAAAGCACUCCGCUGGGCCGAAAACUGACACUGACAGACGAGAGCUAGGGGAGCGAAUGGG
rnacentral:rRNA from 1 species